GUACUCCUGAAGAGUCCCAAACUAGGACUAAACAGCUGUCUAGUAC
rnacentral:hammerhead_ribozyme from 1 species